UACUUUGUGGGACACUGACCACUCUGACUGGACUUUCCUUUGGCAGAGUCUUUGGAUUCGUGGCCCGGAAGCAGGGCAGUGCCACGGAUAAUGUGUGCCACCUGUUUGCAGAGCAUGACCCUGAGCAGCCUGCCAGUGCCAUUGUCAACUUCGUAUCAAAGGCCCAUGAGGGGAAAGAGGAUCUUCCAGCUCUGCAAAAACAAGAACAAACAACAUCACCGUGAAUUGGCCUUUCCUGAAAGUGACUUAUCUGACACAUCUCUGUAGCCACAUGCUUUUUGGGUAGAAGAAGCUGGGCAUGGGUGCACCCCACCUCCUAGGGUCCCCAUGGGAAAGGGACAUGCAAGGAAACAGCACAGAACACGAGGUGGUCCCCACGUCCCUGGCACACCAGCAUUCCAGGGGAUGAGGAAUCCCCAGCCCUUGAGGCAGAGGUGCCGAGUGACUGCCAUGCUUCGCCCAUCCGCAUGGGCGCUUCUGUCCAGCUGCACCCGAGGCCGGGGGUUUCCCUCACCUUGGUCUUCCCAAGAUGGAGAUGCUAACGAAACUGAGAAGGGGGCGUAUGUUUGACGAAGGUUUGUGCAAGUCAGGCCCUUCUGGAACACAGCAGGGCCUACAACGAGGGGCCUUUGCGAUGGGCUGUGAGGAUGGGGGUGGUGGGAAGAAUUGGCCACGUUAGAGACCCCAUGCCACCCCACCAUGGUGAGUGCUCUGUGCCUCCUGCUCACCUGUGGCGAGCUGGGCGAGCUGGGCGAGCUGGGCUGGGGAGAGCCUGUGAGGACCGAGAGGAGAAAUGAGAAGAAGGAACAAAAAUAUUAUUUCUAUGUAAUUUAUAUUUUACUUAUGCCAAAUUAUUUAUGAUAAUUUGCCAUUGCUAUAUUGUACCAGUGUCAAAUGCUGCAGCCUGCCAAGCUGUGAUUUUGUGAGGCUUGUCCCUAUGUAGGAUGCACCGCAGGCCCCUGGCCACUGAAAGAGUGUGCAGUGGACUGUGGGUCUCCCAUAUGCGGUGCCGCCCAAAGGUGGCUUUGCCUCAAGCAACCUACCCUGAUGUUUUACUCAUUGGAAUGUUUUUCCCCGAUUGUGGAUGACUUCUUUUCUGAUGGAGAGAGUCCAGGAGGGAUGGAAAACGCCUGGAUUUAAGCUCAGCAUCCCCCACAUGGGCUUUUCGAUCAUCUUCAGGCCUGAAGCUGCACGACCUGAAGUUAUUUAUCAGCCCUCUUUGUGCUGCUCCUUGCCACCUUGGGGUUCCUGCUGGGGACCAUGUGUGGUUGUGGCAUGUGUGAGCAGAAGGGAGGAUGAGGAAAAAGAGAAGAAACCCCGGUACUGACAAGCUGUUUUUGAGUGCCACUGUUUGCCAUCAUCUAAGCCACUGAAUCAAGUGUAUUUCAGGCUUAUUUCAACAUUCCAAUGCCCUGGUUUUCCUGCUUGAAUCUGUUCGUGGUCAAAGGUUUGGGGGAAUUUGUGACCCUGGAACAUCCCCAGAGUGAAAGAUGGAGCUGGGCCACAUCAGAAUAAGGCCUUGGCCCCAUCCUCUCACAGCCUAGGUGCUCUGCAGGCAUGCUGACUGUCCUGAUUGCGAUCCAGCCCGAAAUUCCCUCCUCUGCUUUCAAAAGUCAAAUCCCCCAUUCUUAGGCCACACUGGUGUCACAAGCUCCUGUCAGGGAGCUGGGGUUUGGGAAUGUGCUUUGUGAACUCUGCUUUAAAGUGAGGGGCCGAGGAAAACUUAGAAACAGGCAGAGUUGGAAGCAGCCAAAUCACAGUGGGUGUUGUGUGUGUGUGCGUGUGUGCAUGUGUGCGUGUAUGCGUGUGUGAAAGCAGGUGGACCAUUCCACUUUUUAGCUCCUAUUGAUGCACCAAACCAAGUGCCUCAUUUCUGUGCCAAAUGUUUGCCUUGGUCGUUGUGGACCUCCUUCUCUAACUUGUGGUGGCAUGACUGUCAGGAGGUGCUGGCAUUUUCAGCAGAUCUCAUGUGUUGACCCUGAUGUCUUUAGCAGAGGCCUCUAGCAUCUCGGUUUUUCAUCCACUGCAGGAAUGUGGCCACAGGGAGCAGAGGUUUGUACUUUCCCCAAGAGGUCCUCAUCCUGAGACGGUCUCUACCCAUGUUUAACCCAAAGAGUGCAGGCCAGGUUCCUUAUCCUUCUGAUGAAGGAUGAGAGAGCUCAUUUAGAAGUCAGAGCAAACUAGGGUCUCAGUAUUGAGAAACGCAGCCUGCCAGGGAAUCACAGAGACAACGGGGUGCCCGCGAUGGCCCUCAUGAAGCCAUGCCUCGACGGCAUUCAGGAAGCCCUGCCAACGUGCUUUUUGAACUCAUUGUCCAGGUGUGAUUUUUACACAAGGUAAACGUGGUCAAGGGCAUCGGGGAAUUUGCUCCAAGCAGAUAGCUCCCUCUGAGGAACCAAAGGAAGCAAGUUUCCACGAUUUCUGAAGAGCUGGUAUAGGAAGUUUCUUUCUUCCUUUUGUGUUACAUGUGCAUUAAACAGAACAAGCUGUGUGUCAUCACAGAUUGUACUGUGGGCUCAGAAACCGUGAGAGAGCCCCCACCGUGGACACCGGCUCUAGGGCCACGGGAAAAGGAACGUUUCCAGGCAUUUUGUCUCCAGGGCUCCCGCUGGACAGGCGCGUACUGCCCUGGGGAGUAAAUGCGGAGAGUUCACGAACUGUGCCCAACGCAUGUUAUAGCCAGGGUCCUACUAACUACUCAGUAAAAGAACGUAUUGUUGUAUUCCUCCAGUGUUAAGCUAUAGCCAUGUUAAAAGUCACUGUGCAUUUAUUCUCAGCAUCAAAUACCUUGUAACGUCUUCUCUGCCUUGUUAGUGCAUAUUUUUACUUUUCUGAUACUGUAAAGAAUAUAUCCAGUAUGUAAAUGAAUGUUCUAUAAAUCCUUUGUAUAGUCAUUUUCUCUGCUCUUUAAAUAUCAUCUCUAUUCAGAGUAUAAUAAAAUUAUGAAC
rnacentral:lncRNA from 1 species